rnacentral:tRNA from 1 species
GUAUCGGUGAUUCAAUGGUAGAAUGCUCGCCUGCCACGGAGGUGGUCCUGGUUCGAUUCCCGGCCGACGCA